rnacentral:rRNA from 1 species
GACAUAUCAAUAAGCGGAGGAAAAGAAACCAACAGGGAUUGCCCUAGUAACGGCGAGUGAAGCGGCAACAGCUCAAAUUUGAAAUCUGGCUUCUUUGGGGUCCGAGUUGUAAUUUGUAGAGGGUGCUUUGGCGUUGGCCCCGGCCUAAGUUCCUUGGAACAGGGCGUCACAGAGGGUGAGAAUCCCGUACGUGGCCGAUCGCCUUUACCGUGUAAAGCCCCUUCGACGAGUCGAGUUGUUUGGGAAUGCAGCUCUAAAUGGGAGGUAAAUUUCUUCUAAAGCUAAAUACUGGCCAGAGACCGAUAGCGCACAAGUAGAGUGAUCGAAAGAUGAAAAGCACUUUGGAAAGAGAGUCAAAAAGCACGUGAAAUUGUUGAAAGGGAAGCGCUUGCAGCCAGACUUGCCUGUAGUUGCUCAUCCGGGCUCCUGCCCGGUGCACUCUUCUGCUGGCAGGCCAGCAUCAGUUUGGGCGGCCGGAUAAAGGCCUCGGGAAUGUAGCUCCCCUCGGGGAGUGUUAUAGCCCGGGGCGUCAUGCGGCCAGCCUGGACUGAGGUCCGCGCAUCUGCUAGGAUGCUGGCGUAAUGGCUGUAAGCGGCCCGUCUUGAAACACGGACCAAGGAGUCUAACAUCUAUGCGAGUGUUUGGGUGUCAAGCCCGGGCGCGUAAUGAAAGUGAACGGAGGUGGGAACCCCCCGGGGUGCACCAUCGACCGAUCCUGAUGUCUUCGGAUGGAUUUGAGUAAGAGCAUAGCUGUUGGGACCCGAAAGAUGGUGAACUAUGCCUGAAUAGGGUGAAGCCAGAGGAAACUCUGGUGGAGGCUCGCAGCGGUUCUGACGUGCAAAUCGAUCGUCAAAUUUGGGCAUAGGGGCGAAAGACUAAUCGAACUAUCUAGUAGCUGUUCCCUGC